rnacentral:misc_RNA from 1 species
AUGCCGGCAGUAGCGAUUGGAGAUAAUAAAAGGCUUUAUGAAUCUCACCCGCACAUAAAGAACUUUCAUAAACAUGAUGUUCACCAGCCGAAAAAUUUCACUCAAACAGUUUUGAUAUAUGCAGUGCCAAUUCCACCAAAUUUGUCAGAAACAGGUAUACCUCUCGGCAACACUAUGUUGAAUACUUCAUCAUACACUCUUUCGCAUGGAAUUCAAGAACAGACUUCACACGAUACCUCAGCUAGCAGGAAUAAUUCUACAGACAUAACUACUAAUGGAACCAAUGAAGAGACGGUCCAGGCAUCAGUGACAAACGAUAGUCGGUUAAACAACUCAAGACGCUUGCCAACUAACGACAUCCAAGAAAACACUUCACAGAACACUGGAACUGGAUAUGAACAGAUGAACACUUCAGUAGAUUCGAUUGACGAUGAACUCCAAGCAGCUGAUAGAACCCCGGCUAGUGCUGAUACCGAGACGGUGACUGGGACAGGCACCUGUAGUUAUAGAUCUAGAGACGAACCUGACCCAACUUUAGCGGACCAAUUACGACUUGUAACUUUAAGGGAAAAUACGUGGUUAUCAUGUCUACUCCGUGAAACAGAAAUGGAACAAUAUGAUAGAUCUUUGGAUGUAACGUCUUCCACAGAAACAGGAAAUUUAGCACAAGAUCAACGUCCACAAAUGAUGGGUGGACUUAAAAAACCUCUUCAAGAGAGAAAAGUGAGACCCAGUCCAAAGAUAAGUAAACAGGAACGGCGUUUUAAUGAAAAAGGAAUGAAAAAUGAAGACAAAGACACAAAAAAAGGUGUACCAAAAGAAAGGAGUACAAAUUCCAAUGAAGAUGCUCAAAACAACAUUGCCAUACUACGUACUUCUAGGAGAACCACAGAAGAGCAACCUACUAGUUGCUCAACAAGCCAAGAACAGUCAGCCAUGAAAGGGGCAGCAACUCUCAAUGUUAAAGAUGACAAAAGCAAAGAAUCGGUAAAAGAAGACUCAUAA